AGACGCACCCUGGAUUUAUUAUUACUUAUGUGCAUUUGAAUUUCUACGUCAUGCUGAUUAAGAAAUCAAAAAAAAAAAUUCAAUAGAAAUAAGGUAAAAUUAAUAAAUUUACGUUAAUAUAAUAUUACAGAUAAUACUACAGCAUAUUUACUGAAUACUGGCGGUUUUCGUGAAAACGAAGAAUACAAUAUUACGGAGUCGGAAACAUUAUUUUUCGGUGAGCAAUAAAAAACGUUUCAAAUUAUUCACUUUUGCAUAACCAUAUCAUAGUUGAUAAUCAAUGGCGGGUAACACAUAAACGUCAAACAAUAACCAGCCCGUUGAUAUUUUGUACAUCCGGACAAUAAUAGACUAAAAAUGUCGUGCCCGCCGUUUGUUAUUGUAAUAAUUGUUCGAAGCACACCACUUUCCGCGGUCCGUACGACCGUACACCAAGCGAAUGCAUAAUAAUAUUCGAAAUGUCUGCGGACAUGCGGAGGACAUGCCUGCCCGGCACCAGCAGCCCCAAGUCACAACAAGUCACAAUGAUUGUUCAUAAAUUUAGAUUAUAAUAUUAAUUUUGUAAAUCGUUGAUUGGGCGGGACGGCCGGGCGGUGUGGCGGGCGUGUUGUGGCGACAAUAACAACAGCGAUAAUAUUAUUAUUAUUAUCACAGAACUGUGACUUGUUCUGUGUUAUUGUUGCCACCACCGCAUUACUUAAGAAUAGUCAUUAAUCGUAUAAAUAAACGUUUAUUCUCAUAAUAAUAAUAUAUUUUCGUGAUUCGUCUACACUCUACGCCGCCUGUACAGCGUACAAUUAUUGUACAACACACUCUUCACUUUUCACUCUUCAGCCGCAGUCCAGUAAAUGCUCCAGUUGUCACUUGUCAGUGUGCAGAGCAGUCGGCGGGCCACACGACCACUUACUGCAUAUACAAAAUUCGUCCGACGCAGCAGAUCUGAGCAUAAUAUUGUCCUGUGUUUAUAUAGAAAUGCAAUGAUGAUAAUCAACAAAAAAUGCAAUUUAGCAACAGUAAUAUUGUUAUGCUAAAAAAUAUACGAAAUCCCCCAAGAGGUCAUCGCUCCCAGCUCGACAUGAUGUAAUAUCAUAACAUUGCAUUAAUGGGAUAAAAUAUUAACGGUCUUGUCAUUGAAGCAAACAAUCCGGAGAUUAAAUCUUUUGAAAAUAUCUUCGACUGUUUUUCGUUUACACCGCGAUGACGUAUUUUUUGUAUUCAUCGUCAGGUUGAUGGUGAUUAUAUGGCCCUAAGUAAAGAAACCUGAACCUAAUUUCACAACUCAACGUCUCGACAAUAAUUGGCUAUCCAAAUAAUAUCAUAGACAAUGGAGUCAUCAAUUAACUUAUGGAUGUAAAACAAACAUUAAAUUACAUAUAAAUAUUAUGAUAAUAAAAUACCAUUCGCGGUAUAGGCUAUAAUGCCUAUGUCAAUAAAUUAAAAAUAAUAAAAUACAGUUGGGUGGUAAUUAGUGGGUUUUUAUUUAUUAAUAUUUU